rnacentral:misc_RNA from 1 species
GCAGUAUUAUAUGAAAGAUGAACAGAAGUUACAGCCAUCUGAAGCACAAGUUUAUGUUGGAAUAAUUCAAUUGCCUUGGGUUGUAAAGCCUCUUUGGGGACUUUUAACUGAUACUCUUCCUAUUUUAGGAUAUAGGAGGCGGCCAUACUUCAUUCUUGGUGGUUUCAUUGGUGUUGUCGCUAUGCUUAGUCUGUCAAUCAACCAGAACUUACACCUCGCAUUGGCUUUGUUGUGCCUAAUGGCUGGCAGUGCGGGAGUGGCAAUAGCAGAUGUAACUAUUGAUGCUUGUGUGACGGAGAACAGCAUAAGCCAUCCUUCUCUUGCUAGUGACAUGCAAAGCUUGUGUGGUCUGAGCUCGUCAGUGGGGCAACUGUUUGGGUACGCAAUCAGU